AUUCCUCAGUCUGUAUGCAGUGAGAACUGUAGGCCUGGAUUCAGGAAAGCUGCCCAGGAAGGCAAGGCUGUCUGCUGCUUUGAUUGCACUCCCUGUGCAGACAACGAGAUUUCCAACGAGACAGAUAUGGAUCACUGUGUGCAGUGUCCAGAAAGUCACUAUGCAAACUCAGAGAAGAACCACUGCCUCCAGAAAUAUGUGAGCUUUUUGGCCUAUGAAGAGCCCUUGGGAAUGGCACUCACCACUGUGCUUCUCUCUACUCACAGCUGUGGUCCUUGUAGUCUUUGUAAAGCACAGAGACACACCCAUUGUCAAGGCCAAUAACAGGACUCUCAGCUACAUCCUGCUAUUGACACUCUUCCUCUGUUUACUCAGUUCCUUGCUCUUCAUUGGACAGCCCAACACAACCACCUGCAUCUUGCAGCAGACAGCAUUUGGAAUUUUGUUCACUGUGGCUCUCUCCACAGUGUUGGCCAAAGCUAUUACAGUGGUUAUUGCAUUCAAGGCCACUGUUCCAGAUAGAAUGGUGAGAUGGUUAAUGAUAUCAAGAGCCCCUAAUUUCAUCAUUCCCAUCUGCACACUGAUACAACUAAUUAUCUGUGGGAUCUGGCUGGUUACCUCUCCACCCUUCAUUGAUCAAGAUACUCAGGCUGANCAUGGUCACAUCAUCAUUGUGUGCAACAUGGGUUCAACAGUUGCCUUCCACACUGUCCUGGGAUACCUCUGUUCCUUAGCACUUGGGAGCUACACCAUGGCCUUCUUAUCCAGAAAUCUGCCUGACACCUUCAAUGAAGCCAAGUUCCUGUCAUUCAGCAUGCAGGUAUUCUUCUGUGUUUGGAUCACCUUCCUCCCUGUCUAUCAUAGCACAAAGGGGAAGGUCAUGGUGGCUAUGGAAGUGUUCUCCAUCUUAGCUUCCAGUAUAGCACUCCUUGGACUGAUUUUUGCCCCCAAGUGCUACAUUAUUUUGUUAAGGCCAGAAAAGAACUCCUGUCUUGGCAUCAGGUACAAAAAAAAAUUCAAGAAGAAAU